rnacentral:misc_RNA from 1 species
AACGCACCUUGCACCCUUUGGUAUUCCGAAGGGUACACCCGUUUGAGUAUCAUUGUAACCUCACCACAUCAACCUAUUGUUGGUGUCGUGGACUUGGAUGCUGCCGUGUUAUGAUGGCUCAUCUGAAAUCUCUGAGUACAUCCUGAUUUGUGGUGUGUUUGGUGUGAUAAAUCUUCACCAAGUUGACCUCUCAGGUCACACCCACUUGACAUGGCUCUGUGCUUCCAACAGUCUCCCAUGUGAGACAGCUCCUGACAAUUUGAUCUCAAAUCGGGUGGGACUACCCGCUGAACUUAA